CGGAAAAGGUCACAGGCCCUCUCUUCUUUCCCUUCAGGCUCUUGAGGCAGUGAAGGAGCAUGGGGGGAGGGGAACGGAAAGGACAAAGGCUGCUGCCCACUACUGGCCUUCUCCUGAACUGCAGCCCACACCAGCAGGCUCUGAGCACAGCCUUAAUUGAUGCUUCCAAGCCGCCCAAACCAACACCUAUCCAGAAGGAAAAGGACAGAGGAAGAGGUUACUGCCCUAGAGUAGAAGGGACCCGGUCAAGUGGCUUUGUUACCUAGGAUGGCAAAAAGCCAACACAUAAUAGGAUUCUGCUAUCCUACCAACCUGUGUGAUGGACCCUGGUGGGCCACAAGAAGAGGAAGCAGUUAGGGGCGUGCAGUCACCCUGGGGUUGAUUGCACUCACCACCCACAGGAUGUGCACACUUACUUCACAGAUACUCUUCUGCAGUCUCAAAAUUCCACCCAUCAGCUAUGACCCCUCCUACCUGCUGCCCUAACAACAUAUUUAAUCAGCAGCUAACACUAUGUAGCCACCGGGGGUUGCAGCACCUGGGCUCUUAGGGGGACCCCAGGUCCCCAAAAGGAGCUUAGAAGCCGAACUGAAGAGAGCAGACAAGUACAUGAAAAAUGCGAGCAAAACUAACCACAUCUAAGGAAGCCCUCCGUAAAAGGUCACAGUGUCAUCAGCCCAACUCCCAGCGCACAUUCCCGGCCCACUGCCUUCACUUGUUACAAGCAUCCUUCCUUGGAGAAGCCCAAAGCCCCAAGCAAGAUUCCUCCUUUCUGCUCCCAGUCUCAGGGGUGAGGCUCCCUCCCUGAGUCUCGGAUGCUCUUGCUCCUAGUCCUCCACUCCUACCUGGCAU